rnacentral:rRNA from 1 species
UAAUACGGAGGAUCCAAGCGUUAUCCGGAAUCAUUGGGUUUAAAGGGUCCGUAGGUGGAUAAUUAAGUCAGAGGUGAAAUCCUGCAGCUCAACUGUAGAAUUGCCUUUGAAACUGGUUAUCUUGAGUCAUUAUGAAGUGAUUAGAAUGUGUAGUGUAGCGGUGAAAUGCAUAGAUAUUACACAGAAUACCGAUUGCGAAGGCAGAUCACUAAUAAUGUACUGACACUGAUGGACGAAAGCGUGGGUAGCGAACAGGAUUGGAUACCCUGGUAGUCCACGCCGUAAACGAUGGUCACUAGCUGUUUGGACUUCGGUCUGAGUGGCUAAGCGAAAGUGAUAAGUGACCCACCUGGGGAGUACGUUCGCAAGAAUG